ensembl:lncRNA
AACCUUUUGAUCACUCUAGUGCCAAGUUCUCUUCACACAGCAGCAUCAGAAGGUUCUGGUCUUUAUGAGCUAGGCAUGGUUUUGUUGUCAUCUGAAAGACUAAAUUGUAGGAGAUGGGGCUCAAAUACUGCUUGGGUUUCACAGGUACCUCAGAGGUAAAAAUUCUGCCUGCCAACCAAGACAUGGGCUAGAUCCCUGGGUCAGGAAGAUCUCCUAGAGAAGGAAAUGGUAACCUACUCCAAUAUUCUUGCCUGGGAAGUUCCAUCGACAGAAGAGCCAGGUGGGCUACAGUCUGUGGGUCACAAAAAAAAGUUGGACAUGACUUAGCAACUAACCAAACAAAUAUUGCUUCCAUUUAGUAGCACUCAUAGAAGGACAAGUAGGAAUUUCUCUCCCUGAACCAGGUGAAACUCUAAGAUGGCCAGCCAAGGGACCCCAGUGAACUUUCUAGAGCUCCUGCUCCCUGCCUUUCUACAAUAAUACGAUCCUCUGUAUCGAUCAGCCUGUCUACCAAAGGUCAUCUCCUUCUAUGGUGCGAUAGCUUUCAAGGGACCCGCUUCUCUGGUUAGAAGCUCUCCAGAGUCCCAGGCAGAGUCCCACAGUUCCCAUGGCUCUGUUCAUGAGCUCAAGGAAACACUUUACUUCUUCACAUCAACUAAAUCUUCUCUCCAUUUCCCUGCCCAAGUGCCAAUGCCCUCUUGACAGCCAGGGCCAGGCCAGAGAGGUAAUGCCCAUUCACGGUGUCAAUCAGAAGAGACACUUCGAAAUAUCAGAGGGGCCCAGGAGGACAGCCAGUCUCUCCAGGUGUCCCCCUGCUACAGCCACAUUUGUGGAACUGUCAUUAAGAAGGCUUGGCANNNNNNNNNNNNNNNNNNNNNNNNNNNNNNNNNNNNNNNNNNNNNNNNNNNNNNNNNNNNNNNNNNNNNNNNNNNNNNNNNNNNNNNNNNNNNNNNNNNACAGCCACAUUUGUGGAACUGUCAUUAAGAAGGCUUGGCAGGACUUCCCUGGGGGCUCACUGGUAACGAAUCCGCCUUGUAGUAUGGGGCACGUGGGUUUUAUCCCUGGAAGAUUCCACUUGCGUGUGCUGCACCUAAGACCCGAUGCACGCAGUCAAGUUAAUUAAUUUUUUUACAAGGCUUGGCAAACCAAGUUCCCCAAAUUGAACCCCCAUACCAUACUGUUCUCCCCAUGAACUUUCCUGUAGCUCCAGAUAAAAAAGAAGAAGAAAACGCAAUUUAGGUACUUUCAAAACCAGUAUCUAAUAUUUGAGGGUUUUUUCUCUGAUAAAAUAUUUUCAAAAAAUAUCUAGCUAUAUUUCUGUAGCCAUUCAUUACUUAAAGCUCUUUCCAAAAUCCCUUAUUGAAGUAAUGCAUUUACCAACCCAAUGAUUACAAAACAACAAUACUUCAUACUUAAAAACAGUAAUAACUUUCAAUAAUUUGGUUAUCACCCUGUGAGGUAGAUGACAAAUAUUAUUCCCAUUAUUCAGAUGGGAAAAUUGAGCUAGAGAAAAGCAAGCAGCAAAUGACUUAUCAAAGACAGGAGUUAAGCUGAAAAUACAACCUAAGACUUUUCAGCACAUUUGGGAAAGAACAGAAAUUAACGGCUCAAGUUCUAUUGCUGGCCACCUUUGUGAAGAAGACCAAGAAUGUAUGGCAACCACAUGCCUAGACCCAGGCUUGGAAUGUAAACGGUGGGUGGGUUUGGAGGUCUGGGUGGGAGACGACACCUCUUUCUUUGUGCAAAGUGUGAGAGUUGUGCCACUGAGGGUGAGCUGAGCCCAUGGCCUUCGCCACUUCCUCUUGAACUGAAGCUAGAGAGAAGGGGCAUUUUAAAAAUGUUCUGGAAAAUGCUGAUACAAUACGAUGGCAUUAAAUAAAAACAAGAAGAGAAUUGACUCAAACACAAAACCAAAAGCGCAAGCGGCUGAUUUCCUUUAAUUUUAUCUUCUUCCUUCCCUAAGUCUGCAGUUGUGAAAAUAGGAAUUUUUAAAGGAGGAAAUCUUAAUUUAGAUUGGAAACAGAGCCCCCUGGAAAAACUUGCCUCUUUUCUUUAAUCAAGGUCAGCAUUGGCUUAGUGUUGAUGGCGGUGCCUGACUCAAGAGAUUGGCCCUGCCAAGAAGCGAACAUGUGAACGGGUUUAGUAUCUAACCCAGUUUUAACAACGUUGGGGAGAAAGUGAGAACUGUGCCGGAGGUAAGCGACUGUUACCAAUGAGGAUGUAUAGACACACUGAUGUGUGAUAAAGUACGCUUGCAGCUAUGUUCAAAUAAAGGAUCAGGCAGUUACACAGUACGGUGAUUCCAUUUAUCUGAGCAGAGGUUCUCGGUCUUGGUUUCACACUAGAAGCACCUCAGAAGCUUUUGAAAACAUUCAAGCCAGUGCCCCUGAGACCUGAGAUUCAGAAGGCAGAGUCUGGGGUGGUGCCCGGGGAGUUUCCCUGAAGCCCCCAGGGGGUCUAAAGGGCUCUCAGAGUUGAAGGCUGAUCCAGAGCUUGCUGAAGUGAGACCCCCGCAGGUGUCCAGCCUGGCCAGUACCCGCCCCCCCUGCCCCUGGGGAUCUCUACCCUCCCGAGUUGGCAAGGAGCCAUUGGGGAGGGGCAGAAAGGGCGAGAUUUGUAUUAAGAUGGGGAUUUGCUUGAAGCUCCAUUCCUUUCAUCCUGCCCUCGUUUCUUUCCAGUUCUGGACCCAUGAACCUGCGCUAAUUUGCAUUCAACUCUACACGUAUUGGCAAACAACGCUGCCAGGCUAUUAUUCACUCAGUAUUUCUCUGCCUGGCUGCUGCAGCCUUCUGCUUUCUCCUGACACACAGUCUGUCUGGGGCAUAAUAUCUUUCUUUGGCCUUAGGUCUCUACGAGGAUUCGGGGAGGGCCAUCCCAACAUUUUUCAUUAGGCAAAAAAGAUUAAACUUGAAAAUAACACGUUGCCCUUGCUAGCAGAUGUCUCGUUAAACCUAACACAAAAACAGGGUAAACCUGCCGUGUGACACUCAUGGAUCCUUUCCUAACUAUAUUUAACCAUUAAAUAAAAUGACUCCUAUCUUAAAGAAAACUUGAUCCUUUAUUACAUUAUGCAUAGCUAUNNNNNNNNNNNNNNNNNNNNNNNNNNNNNNNNNNNNNNNNNNNNNNNNNNNNNNNNNNNNNNNNNNNNNNNNNNNNNNNNNNNNNNNNNNNNNNNNNNNUCCUAUCUUAAAGAAAACUUGAUCCUUUAUUACAUUAUGCAUAGCUAUGAAAACCUGGGGAAAGGGACACUGGAACCCUAAGGUGGGCCCAGAUCUCAGAACGGGGCAAUCCUGCUAAAUACGGGGCCCUCUGAGUAAGACUGCCCCCUGCAGGUAAGACAGAAAUACAGCAACCAAGGGACUAGAAAAAACGACACAGGCAUCCGGGAAAUGUGUGUCAUGUCCCUUACCUGACACACAGGAAACGGAGGGGCAAGAGAAGCGAUUGGCUCAAAAUCAAACAGAGAACUUCUGCCUAAUUGGGCAGAAACUGAGCUGGAACGCUGCCACCCCAUGUUGAGAAUGCCUUCUGUGCCAGUGUGGAAAGCUGAGGCCUGCCCAGAGCCUCACCACAUUCUUCCGAGUCACAUAACUCCUAGUCAGUUAUCAAUUUUGCAAAUGGUGGUAAAAAUAAAAUGCCCUGCUUCCCCCUACACAUACAUGUUCACACACACACACACACCAUAUUAUCAGUCUCUCAUUGAAAACAAAGAUUUGCAUAUUGUGACUGGCUAAAUUAAUUCAUCAUGUAUUUCAUAUUCCAGAGACGUUGAUCAUUUUCAAUGUUAUCUGCCUUUAGUUUAGAGAAUUUCGAGGUAAUACUUGCAAAUCUACAAGAACCCCCACUGGUUAGGAGACAUUACAUUAGAUUAUUAAAUGAUGCAAUUUUAUAUCCAGAAUUACAUUGGAUUAUGCUAAUAGUGGUCAAGGUUAUUAAUCUUUAUUCCAGUCACUACUGCAAAUAGUACAUGAACAUUAGCCAAAAUUAGCUUAAUCUUUCUUUUGUAGCAUGAUUUUGAAAUUUACACAUUAUUUUUUUCCGGGGACAAGUCACAUUUAAUAGCAUGUCUUAAAAUGCAAUCCUGUCCCCUAGAAAACCAAAGGUGGAAAACAUAAGUGCAAUAUGUUACUGCUACCUACAGGCCAUUUCCUCUCUGCUUAGGUAAAGCUUCUUUCCAAAUCUGUUCUACCUCCUACUUUCCAACACUGGGGUAUCACUUAAAAGCCAUCAAGUAUUUCUCAAGAAAGAAUACAUAUAGCAGUGGGGCACCCACACCCCAGUCACUCAUCAAGGGAAAUGUCAGGUCUUCUGUAAGCUCCUGUACACCGUGAUUCAAUUGCCCUUUCUUCUAACACCCUCCUCACCUCCCACCUCUUGGAAUGAGAAGGUAGAUACAUAGCUCUGCCUGAACAUCAGAAAUUAGGAAUCCUAACAGAUUAAAGAUUUCCUAGGGAAUUUUUUCCCUCGGGAUGACAAUGCAAUGUUUACUUGACUCAGAAAUUCGGGAAGCUAGAAUCCUGUUUGGUUUUGGUUCAGAUGAGAAAAUAAUCAUCUAGUAUUGCCUGAACACCCACAAGAGGGGCUGACGUCUUCGGUUCUCUUUGAGAAAAGUGGUGAAAGAAAGCUACAGAGGACAGAAUUCAUUACCUCUAGGGCAUCCAUUCCCUCCAGUUCUCCAGCCCAUGGUACAUGGAUUUUAAUUUGGCGAAUACACCCUUCCCUACCUCCACUAUGCAUUUGGGUAGAAGUGAUUCUUUUUCCAGACCCAUGGAAGACCAAGGCAGGCUAGGGCAAUUAGAGGAACUCAUCACCCUCCCCAAAGAUGGGCACAUGGCCCAAAUUAAGCCAACAUGAGCAAAUGAGUCUCAGAGUGAGGGCUUAAGCAGAAGCUAUCAGAAAAAACAAACAAGUAAACAGUCUUCCCCAGGAAGGUGUGGUGUACAGAUUUCGUCAGGAACUGAUGUCCCCUUUUGUUUCAUGAGGGAAGAGGGUAGGGUUGUCAGGGGCCAACACAUGGAACAUGAAGCCAAAACCACAGAAGGCAGAGAGGAGAGGAAGAGAGAAACGGGGGCCUUGGAGCCAACAGCCUUGGAGCCACUGACUUCUAAUUACCUGAGCUGCUAACUUUGCUUUAUGAUGAAGUUUGCAGGUUUAUGAUGAAGUUUGAGGGAUUUUCAACCACAUUCAAUGUAAAGAGUCUUUGUGGAGAAGAACCAAUCUUCAGUGCACUUCUGAUUCCCCAGAGGAAUAACCAGAAUGAGAAUUAAAUGGAAAUGCUUAUUCAGUACUUCUGACAUUUAAAGUUUCAGUUUAGUUCGGUCACUCAGUCGUGUCCGACUCUUUGCGACCCCAUGAAUUGCAG